UACGGGGGGGAGCAAACGUUGUUCGGAAUCACUGGGCGUAAAGGGCGUGUAGGCGGCUGGAUAAGUGGGAUGUUAAAUCCCCCGGCUCAACCGGGGACCUGCAUCUCAUACUGUUCAGCUCGAGCACAUCAGAGGAGACUGGAAUUCCCGGUGUAGCGGUGAAAUGCGUAGAUAUCGGGGAGGAACACCAGUGGCGAAGGCGAGUCUCUGGGAUGAUGCUGACGCUGAGGCGCGAAAGCCAGGGGAGCAAACGGG
rnacentral:rRNA from 1 species